GGGCUGGUAGUCGAGUGGUAAGACGCCACAUUGGCAUUGUGGAGACUCCGGGUUCGAUUCCCGGCCAGUCCA
rnacentral:tRNA from 1 species